GCAGGUCGCCCAGGUCUCUUCGUCUAUCCCCGAGCGCCGGCCCUAUCCCUAUCCCUGAGCUCCUCUGUUGGUCGAGGCUGCGCCGCCACCGUCCUCAAUCCCGGCGGCGAGCUUCCGCGCCCUCUGAUACCCAUCUACUCUUCUUCUGCAGGCCCCCAUGGUGGGUCUCUUCUUUACUUUAUUUUUUAAUGUCGUCUCCUGCAGCGUUCUGCCUUGGCGACUGCGGCAGCCGCACGCGCUGCUGGCUUCCAUCGCCGAUUGUGUUUCCUCUUGCGUCCGCCUCCAUGCGCUUGCAGCUGGUGGCUGUGGUAACGGGACUGACGGCGAAGGAGAUUCGACAGAGCCGAUCGCGACGAGCACCUCAUCCUCCUUUUACUCCGCAGGAUCAGCGUCCCCUUUUCUUUUGUGUCUGACCAACAGGGUAGGAUGACGUACGUUGUUGAUUUGUUGUACUGAUGCGUGAUCGGGCAUCUCGGGAGGAUGUAAGUGGAACAUUAGCUAGGCCAUGGACAACACAUUGCAGAGGCCAUUAAUAUGUAGCAAAGCCAUUUUAUGAGGUCGUCGUUGACAACAAUGUUAUGCUCAACUUUGAGAGCCAAUCUUCUUUUAUCCGUAUUCAACUCUUGUUGGUAACAUAUUCAUCUCUUGUUA